UUCGGGGGACAAAGUGACAGGUGGUGCAUGGUUGUCGUCAGCUCGUGUCGUGAGAUGUUGGGUUAAGUCCCGCAACGAGCGCAACCCUUAAGCUUAGUUGCCAGCAUUAAGUUGGGCACUCUAAGUUGACUGCCGGUGACAAACCGGAGGAAGGUGGGGAUGACGUCAAAUCAUCAUGCCCCUUAUGAUUUGGGCUACACACGUGCUACAAUGGACAAUACAAAGGGCAGCUAAACCGCGAGGUCAUGCAAAUCCCAUAAAGUUGUUCUCAGUUCGGAUUGUAGUCUGCAACUCGACUACAUGAAGCUGGAAUCGCUAGUAAUCGUAGAUCAGCAUGCUACGGUGAAUACGUUCCCGGGUCUUGUACACACCGCCCGUCACACCACGAGAGUCUGUAACACCCGAAGCCGGUGGAGUAACCAUUUAUGGAGCUAGCCGUCGAAGGUGGGACAAAUGAUUGGGGUGAAGUCGUAACAAGGUAGCCGUAUCGGAAGGUGCGGCUGGAUCACCUC
rnacentral:rRNA from 1 species